GCGCUGGUAGCUCAAUUGGAUAGAGCGUUGGCCUCCGAAGCCAAAGGUUGCGGGUUCGACUCCCGCCCGGCGCA
rnacentral:tRNA from 1 species